rnacentral:rRNA from 1 species
CCCGCCGCGCGCGGCGGGCGGGGCGGGGGCACGGGGGGAACGCGAAGAACCUUACCUACUCUUGACAUCCAGAGAAUUUAGCAGAGAUGCUUUAGUGCCUUCGGGAACUCUGAGACAGGUGCUGCAUGGCUGUCGUCAGCUCGUGUUGUGAAAUGUUGGGUUAAGUCCCGCAACGAGCGCAACCCUUAUCCUUUGUUGCCAGCGAUUCGGUCGGGAACUCAAAGGAGACUGCCGGUGAUAAACCGGAGGAAGGUGGGGAUGACGUCAAGUCAUCAUGGCCCUUACGAGUAGGGCUACACACGUGCUACAAUGGCGUAUACAAAGAGAAGCGACCUCGCGAGAGCAAGCGGAACUCAUAAAGUACGUCGUAGUCCGGAUUGGAGUCUGCAACUCGACUCCAUGAAGUCGGAAUCGCUAGUAAUCGUAGAUCAAAAUGCUACGGUGAAUACGUUCCCGGGUCUUGUACACACCG